rnacentral:rRNA from 1 species
CUAGCCCUAAACGAUGUAGACUAGGCGUCGGAAGUUUAAUCACUUUCGGUGUCCAAGCUAACGCGAUAAGUCUACCGCCUGGGGACUACGGCCGCAAGGUUAAAACUCAAAGGAAUUGACGGGUCCCCGCACAAGCAGCGGAGCGUGUGGUUUAAUUCGUUGCUACACGAAGAACCUUACCUGGGUUUGACAUAGCAGUGGUAGGGAAGCGAAAGCGGACCGACCCUUCGGGGAGCUGUUACAGGUGU